UUAAUAUCUGAAAACCAAAGCGCCUUCAUCCCCGGAAGGUUGAUUACAGAUAAUUCUAUAAUAGCUUUCGAGUGUAUCCAUCAUAUUCAAAAUUUGGCGGCAAACUCGGAUGCUUUCUAUGCUUAUAAACUUGAUCUAUCCAAGGCGUAUGAUCGUGUUGAUUGGGUGUUCCUGGAAAAGGCCCUCCUCAAGUGGGGAUUCUCUCAAUACUGGGUGGAUCGUGUUAUGGCAUGUGUAUCUUCAGUAAAGUACUCGGUGAAAUUCAAUGGCAAGUUAACAGAAUCAUUCAGUCCAUCGAGGGGGCUGCGGCAAGGUGACCCCCUUUCCCCCUUCUUA
rnacentral:rRNA from 1 species